rnacentral:rRNA from 1 species
AUGAUCAUCACUGGCGACGACCCUCAGUAUAUUGCCUUUGUGAAGGCCCGUCUUAGUGAGCAGUUUCUUAUGUCUGAUCUUCACCCUCUUAGGCACUUUCUUGGGAUAGAAGUCUCUUCUACCUCUGAUGCCUUUUUUAUUUCCCAGGAAAAGUAUAUCCAGGAUCUUCUUGCUCGUGUUGCUCUUACUGAUGAGCGCAUUGUGGAGACUCCCAUGGAGCUCAAUGUUCACCUCCGUGAUACUGAUGGUGACCCCUUGUCUGAUCCAACGUGUUAUCGUCAUCUUGUUGGGAGUCCUAUCUAUCUAGCUACCACUCGUUCGGAUAUCUCUUAUCCAGUCCAUAUUUUGAGUCAGUUUGUCUCUGCUCCCACUUCGGUUCACUACAGUCACCUUCUUCGUGUUCUCGGCUAUCUUCGUGGCACCAUCUCUCACCGUCUGUUCUUUCCUCGCUCCAAUUCGUUACAGCUUCAGGCUUAUUCGGAUGCUACGUGGGCUAGUGAUCCAUAG